UGGGGACCUGGAUACUCUGGACCUGGAGGGGACAUGGAGCAUGCACGGUGACAAGUGUCUUGCAAGAGCCACUUUCUUUCCUGAAUGGCCUUCCCUGACCACCAGCACCCCUUCCCAGGAGCUGGGCCAUCCCAUUUGUCGCGGUGUCCUCGGUGUCCUGCACGUGAUGGCCCUGAACU